AUGCCCCCUCCCCCACCCCACCAUCACGCCUCACCACCGCCGCAACCCACAAGCCAGAUCGGGAAGGGGAUCGCCAGACCUAGGGUUUCGACGAAAUCGAUCUACAUGGAGAAGGAGGCUUCGAUCCCGAUUGACAAGGAGGAUUCGAUCCAGACGGAGAAAGAGGCGGCGCCUGCUGGUGGUGCUGCGACCCCCGAUUGGUUGAGGCUCGACCUGUAUCUGGUUGAUGGAUACGGGUUCAAGGAGCAGAGGAUGGUGAAGAUGGACCAUCGGAACGGCUACAUCAAGUGGCUGCUCGAGUGGGACAAGAAGCCGCGCCCUCCCCUGCCCAACCUCCCCGAGGAGUGCCGCGAGGCCAUGGACGCCAUCAAGGCUCAGCGCGACCACGACGAGGGGGUCCUCGCCGGCUUCAAGCGCGACGGCUACGCCUACGUCCAGGUCGAUGUCUUCAACGACGACGACCCAAGGGCCAACCUCCCCGACCACCACUACGACAUCAUCCACGACGACAGCGACGAAGUAGGCCAAGAAGCGGAACGCAUCCUAGGCCGUCUCUAA
rnacentral:rRNA from 1 species